AGAGUUUGAUCCUGGCUCAGGACGAACGCUGGCGGCGUGCCUAACACAUGCAAGUCGAACGGAACUGUUUUGAAAGAUUUCUUCGGAAUGAAUUUGAUUUAGUUUAGUGGCGGACGGGUGAGUAACGCGUGAGUAACCUGCCUUCAAGAGGGGGAUAACAUUCUGAAAAGAAUGCUAAUACCGCAUGACAUAUCGGAAUCACAUGAUUUUGAUAUCAAAGAUUUUAUCGCUUGAAGAUGGACUCGCGUCCGAUUAGUUAGUUGGUGAGGUAACGGCUCACCAAGACCGCGAUCGGUAGCCGGACUGAGAGGUUGAACGGCCACAUUGGGACUGAGACACGGCCCAGACUCCUACGGGAGGCAGCAGUGGGGGAUAUUGCGCAAUGGGGGCAACCCUGACGCAGCAACGCCGCGUGAAGGAUGAAGGUUUUCGGAUUGUAAACUUCUUUUAUUAAGGACGAAAAAUGACGGUACUUAAUGAAUAAGCUCCGGCUAACUACGUGCCAGCAGCCGCGGUAAUACGUAGGGAGCAAGCGUUGUCCGGAUUUACUGGGUGUAAAGGGUGCGUAGGCGGCUUUGCAAGUCAGAUGUGAAAUCUAUGGGCUCAACCCAUAAACUGCAUUUGAAACUGUAGAGCUUGAGUGAAGUAGAGGCAGGCGGAAUUCCCCGUGUAGCGGUGAAAUGCGUAGAGAUGGGGAGGAACACCAGUGGCGAAGGCGGCCUGCUGGGCUUUAACUGACGCUGAGGCACGAAAGCGUGGGUAGCAAACAGGAUUAGAUACCCUGGUAGUCCACGCUGUAAACGAUGAUUACUAGGUGUGGGGGGAUUGACCCCUUCCGUGCCGCAGUUAACACAAUAAGUAAUCCACCUGGGGAGUACGACCGCAAGGUUG
rnacentral:rRNA from 1 species